rnacentral:lncRNA from 1 species
CCCCUUUAGCCUGGGCUUGAGCGCGCGCAGAAGUCAGCUUCGUGACUUCCUUCUCAGGAUGGAACCAGCUUGGUGGCUUGAGGGAAAGGGGUUCUGAGUUGCAAAUCAGAAACUUGAAGAUGAAAUGGCUACUACGCUGGGUAUUGCCUUUAUCUUGAAUGCCAGCCUGAUGGUCCAAGGUGAACAAGCCUUCCUGUGUUUUCUGAAUGUGCAGUUCCCCCGCACUUUGCCUGCCACCAUGUAAGAUGUGUCUUUGCGCCUCCUUUGCCUUCCACCAUGAUUGUGCGGCCUCCCCAGCCAUGUGGAACGGUGAGUCUAUUAAACCUCUUUUUCUUUACAAAUUA